AUACGCAUUUUGCCGGAAAACGAAUCUGACAUGCCACCUCGAGAUUUUAACCAAGAAAAGACAAGUAGAUGUGCUUUGAUUUGAAGGGUCACUCACUUCUGAACGAAAAUUAGGGACAUCGCUAUGAGAAGAAACGUUAACAUUGUCGCCUAUGGGAAAACAAUUAGUGGACUGUACCCAUAUUAGGAAGCCUAUAAGUUCAUGGUGAUUGGUACAGGAAAAACAUGAGGCCCAUGCUGAUGGUGUUUAAAACUAUUGGCCAGCAAAUGCAUACCCAUUUGAAUACAUCUUGAAACAGCACCAGCAAAAUGUGACAGUCGACAAAAUGUAGGUUCCCGCAGACAUACGCAUUUUGCCGGAAAACGAAUCUGACAUGCCACCUCGAGAUUUUAACCAAGAAAAGACAAGUAGAUGUGCUUUGAUUUGAAGGGUCACUCACUUCUGAACGAAAAUUAGGGACAUCGCUAUGAGAAGAAACGUUAACAUUGUCGCCUAUGGGAAAACAAUUAGUGGACUGUACCCAUAUUAGGAAGCCUAUAAGUUCAUGGUGAUUGGUACAGGAAAAACAUGAGGCCCAUGCUGAUGGUGUUUAAAACUAUUGGCCAGCAAAUGCAUACCCAUUUGAAUACAUCUUGAAACAGCACCAGCAAAAUGUGACAG